UGCGUAGGCGGUCUUUCAAGCCAGAAGUGAAAGGCUACGGCUCAACCGUAGUAAGCUUUUGGAACUGUAAGACUUGAGUGCAGGAGAGGAGAGUAGAACUCCUAGUGUAGCGGUGAAAUGCGUAGAUAUUAGGAGGAAUACCAGUAGCGAAGGCGGCUCUCUGGACUGUAACUGACGCUGAGGCACGAAAGCAUGGGGAGCAAACA
rnacentral:rRNA from 1 species